rnacentral:rRNA from 1 species
UACGUAGGGUGCAAGCGUUAAUCGGAAUUACUGGGCGUAAAGCGUGCGCAGGCGGUUGUGUAAGACAGAUGUGAAAUCCCCGGGCUCAACCUGGGAACUGCAUUUGUGACUGCACAGCUGGAGUGCGGCAGAGGGGGAUGGAAUUCCGCGUGUAGCAGUGAAAUGCGUAGAUAUGCGGAGGAACACCGAUGGCGAAGGCAAUCCCCUGGGCCUGCACUGACGCUCAUGCACGAAAGCGUCGGGAGCAAACAGG